AUUGAACGCUGGCGGCAGGCCUAACACAUGCAAGUCGAACGAGUGGCGUACGGGUGAUUAAUGUCUUUGAAACUGCCUGACGGAGGGGGAUAACUACUGGAAACGGUAGCUAAUACCGCAUACCAUCAGCUACUCUCAGAUUGGAUUAGCUAGUUGGUGGGGUAACGGUUCACCAAGGCGACGAUCCCUAACUGGUCUGAGAGGAUGACCAGCCAAGAUGGGACUGAGAGACGGUCCAGAGUCCUACGGGAGGCAGCAGUAGGGAAGAUUGAACAAUGGGCGCAAGCCUGAUGCAGCAAUGCCGCGUGUAUGAAGAAGGCCUUCGGGUUGUAAAAUACUUUCAGCGGUGAAGCGUUACCCGAAGAAAAAGCACCGGGUAACUCCGUGCCAGCAGCCGCGGUAAUUC
rnacentral:rRNA from 1 species